ACCUGACUGCUAUCGGAUUGGUACUAAGCCAUGUGAGUCAUUGUAGCAAUACAAGGCAUACGGCUCAGUAACACGUAGUCAAUCUGCCCUAUGGACGUGGAUAACCUCGGGAAACUGAGAAUAAUCCGCGAUAGAUCAUAAUGCCUGGAACGGUUUAUGGUCCAAAUGAUUCGUCGCCAUAGGAUGGGACUGCGGCCUAUCAGCUUGUUGGUGAGGUAAUGGCCCACCAAGGCUAUUACAGGUACGGGCUCUGAGAGGAGAAGCCCGGAGAUGGGUACUGAGACACGGACCCAGGCCCUAUGGGGCGCAGCAGGCGAGAAACCUUUGCAAUGUGCGCAAGCACGACAAGGUUAAUCCGAGUGUUUCCUGCUAAAGGAAUCUUUUGUUAGUUCUAAAACCACUGAUGAAUAAGGGGUGGGCAAGUUCUGGUGUCAGCCGCCGCGGUAAAACCAGCACCUCAAGUGGUCAGGAGGAUUAUUGGGCCUAAAGCAUCCGUAGCCGGUUCUGUAAGUUUUCGGUUAAAUCCACUAGCUCAACUAAUGGGCUGCCGGAAAUACUGCAGAACUAGGGAGUGGGAGAGGUAGACGGUACUCGGGAGGAAGGGGUAAAAUCCUUUGAUCUCUUGAUGACCACCUGUGGCGAAGGCGGUCUACCAGAACACGUUCGACGGUGAGGGAUGAAAGCUGGGGGAGCAAACCGGAUUAGAUACCCGGGUAGUCCCAGCUGUAAACGAUGCAGACUCGGUGAUGCACUGGCUUUUGGCCAGUGCAGUGCCGCAGGGAAGCCGUUAAGUUUGCCGCCUGGGAAGUACGUACGCAAGUAUGAAACUUAAAGGAAUUGGCGGGGGAGCACCACAAGGGGUGAAGCCUGCGGUUCAAUUGGAUUCAACGCCGGAA
rnacentral:rRNA from 1 species